rnacentral:rRNA from 1 species
UACGGGGGGAGCAAGCGUUGUUCGGAUUUACUGGGCGUAAAGGGCGCGUAGGCGGCCACCGCAAGUCGACUGUGAAAUCUCCGGGCUUAACCCGGAACGGUCAGCCGAUACUGCGGGGCUAGAGUCCGGAAGAGGCGAGUGGAAUUCCUGGUGUAGCGGUGGAAUGCGCAGAUAUCAGGAGGAACACCAAUAGCGAAGGCAGCUCGCUGGGACGGUACUGACGCUAAGGCGCGAAAGCGUGGGGAGCAAACAGG